UCCUAUUGAGAGACAAGCCUGUGGUGAUCC
rnacentral:piRNA from 1 species